rnacentral:misc_RNA from 1 species
CAUAUGGUAGGUUAUCACAUUUUGAAAUUAUCAAGAAAAUUUUUUUUUUUAACUUUUUUAACUAAAAGUUUGAAGCUGUUUAAAAGCAUCAGUUUUCCAUUUGUGCAAAAUUUAACAAAUGGAUUUAAGAAAUGAAAACAAUAUUGUUCUAGAACAAUUUAAAGUAUCAAAUAACUCAAUCAGUCAUGAAAUUGAUGAUGUUGUUACUGAUAAAAGUGAAGUGCUACCAGUUUUCUGCCAGUCACUAGAAGCUCUGUUACAAAAAGGAAUCAAAAGAGGUUUGGGUGUAACAGGUUUAGUUGAUCGUGAUUAUUGGAAUGUUAUUGAAGGUUUAAUCAGUUCAAAUAAAGUUGUUAUAAAACCUUCAUUAUCAUUGUCUCAUACUAUUUGUCUUGUUCAACAAUGUAAAAAGACGACUACAACUCUUGCAAGAGGCAGACUGUUUAUUCGAAUAGCGUUGACAAAAAGUUUGUUGCACCAAACUUUUCAAUGUUUGUUUGAAAAUCAAGAUUAUGUUAAAUAUUGGUAUAAAGAUGAGUCACCGCUAGUUAACGGCAAGAACCAAAAAGUUGUACUGGAGUUAUUAAAUAUGUUAAGUACAAGAUUAUUCAAAUUGAAUAUUAAGAAUUGUAGCUUUUUGAAUGAAACCUGGAUUAUACCAGAUUCUCAGGAAUACGAAUUUGUACCUUGUGCAUUUCUUGGCAUAACAUUGCUUUCACUAGAUGGAAGAUGUAUAAUUGUUCAAGUUACUCCUGGCAGUGUUGCUCAGGAGCAUGGAAUUCAACCUGGAGAUUGCUUAGAUGAAUUAUUCUCUCAACUCAUCGAUGACAAAUGGUCUCAAAAAAUUGGCCAGUUAAAGCGAAAAAAUCAAGGAAAACCUGUAAUUGCCACUUUUGUCAAGGGCCAGUUUUCAGAUGGUCAUUGGUUUGCACCAGUUUUCCAAAGAUACAAGGCCUUGUGUAAUGCUGGAAAAUGUACAAUGAUUUUACAAAGAGAUCGUUCUAAUAGUUUUAGUUUCAUUACCCCAAAGGAAUCUGAGCCUCGGAAUAAGUUUGAUGUGCUUUACAUUGGAAGUUAUGAUGUUGGAAAAAAAGGUAGCUGUAAGUUUGUUCAAAACGGAAUUUCAAAGCUCUUAGAAAACAAUGAGUUAGCCCAGAAAAAAGUAUGUUUGGAGUUAAUGGAAAGAGAUAUUGUAAUGAAUUGUUUAGAAACAGAAGAGAUUAUUGGGCGAUUUUCUUACACAGAGACCUCAUCUUGUGCCUUAAAAGAAAACGACCCAACAUAUUUUGGUUUUAUUACUGGAAAUACUACGUGUUCGUUUGCUGAUCAGUUUCAAUGUCACGUGUUUAAAUGCAAUACUUCAAUGAUGGCAAGAACUAUUAUUGAAGGGAUAGGCAAAGGUUUUGACCGAACAAUUUAUUGCGUGUAGAGUUUACAUUUUUAUAGUCUUUUUAAAUAUUUGUACAAAACAUGAUGAACCCAAUGGAAGUAUUUAACUAAUAAAACACGAUGAACCUAAUGGAAGUAUUUAACAAGAAUUAUCUACCUAAAGAAGAUCUUUGAAUAAAUUUUACUUCGAACUCUGCUACACUUGUGAUCGAAAAUAAAUUACUCAGAUACCCGAACGCACACACAUAUACGCUGUAAAAAUAUAAAAAACUGAUGUAUUUUUAUAAUUUAAUAUAAAAACUAUAAAUAAAAA